ACUUCAAAUGUGUCAUGUUUAUGAAAACACGUUACAACUAUGAAAAAUAUGUAUCCGGUUUCCUUCUUCGGCGUCUGUUAUUCUGAAGUCUCUAUCGCUUUAAGAUGUAAAUCAACUUCAUGGACCUUGGUCACCCCGACAGCAAAGACCCGUGCACAGUGCUUCCGCUAAACAGACGCGUUAAACUUCUCCACGAGCACGUCCACCUCCGGCCUCGGGAGAGACUUAAAAGAGACCAAUUUUCGCCCAUUUGUCAGCCUUGCAGCUGUGGUGCCAUUGAAGACUUGGUCUGAUCGUUGAAUUUGGGCCCUUCAGGUAAGAUGUCUUGUUUCUUUGCGUACAUUCAACUUAUUCUAAUCUGUAGUCACUGUAUUAUUCGUUACUACGUGAUCUAUUCUUACCGUUAGUGGUGUUUAAUUUUGCCUUAUACAUGUCAUCUACAAGGCUAUCAUAGCAUCAGAUACUUAUGAUGACAUAACGUGAACACGAAAAUUAAGGAAACUUAUAAAAGAGUGCUCUCACUUUUAUAUAAUUACACCUUUCGUUAUUAUUUUAGUUGAAUUAGGUCCAUAUAUACGCUUGACGACAAAUGAGCAAAAACGUGCGAUUUGAAAACUAAGGAUGAUAUCCCUUACCAAGCUAUCUUUUGGUAAGUGGCCAGCUUGUUGUUCUCAAAGUAGCAUAAUUGUCAAAGACCAACUAAAAAAUGGACCGGUCAAUAAAUAUUUUUAAUCUUUUAGAAAUGCGCCAAAGCAGUGAUCAUUUGUGUUGUCGACGUCUGUACGGUUUGUUUUAUUAGCAACAAAACAUGUACCUCUCGUUUCGUCAUCGCAGGCAACAAAGUCAGACUCUUUGCCAAGAUGAGGUUCACCUCUGCCAUCCUGCUCCUUGCAGUCCUAGCAGCGUUCCUGGUCAUGAUCACUGCAGCAGAAGAGAGCAAGAGUCAGAACCGUAGGGGAGACAGACAAGGCACCGGAUGCCCGGACGACAUUGCCUGCACCAUUAGCUGCCAGAAGCAGGGUGUCCGCUUUGGUACAUGCCAUGGACACCACCUGCGAACCCGUUCAUGCACCUAAUUUGGAUGGUAGUUCCUCACUAACUGCUAAUGAACCUCACCGGCGCGUGCCCUCGCUAAAUGUAUCCUGUUGAUUCCCUCACAAUGAAAAAUCCGCUUAUUCUAUUCUGACUAUGCAAUCCUGAUACACUACAACUAUAUCUGCAUUGGCAGAACUAACGAUUUAGUGCUUCUUCAAAUGGUCCAGAGUUACGGAACACUUCUCUUUCAUGAACCCAUACAAUAUGCUGUAAAUAAUUCCCCAUUACACACGAUGAUCUGAGGCUGCAAAAAUAAAUUUUCCUUUUAAAACAUGAA